AUACCUUAGCUUUGGCCAAUCUCAUGUUGCAAUUUUGCUUCAAACACAACAUUCAGUGAUUCUUAUGAAAACAGCAGCAUUUCUCGAAAGAUCCUGGAACGGCCACAAUCUCAAGAGGUAGUACGAUUCUACCCGUCGUCAUAUUUCGUCCGCCAAGCCAUUGCGCGGAGAUGUUGGCUCCAUGCCCAUUUCAACACAGGCUCACUCGCCCGCGCUCGCGCGUCGUCGCUUUGCCUUCAUGCCACCAGACAGCGCUGCCUGUCGCGCAUGCGCUGUUCUUGUUGGGUUCGCUUUGGCUGCUGUAACGGUCGUUUCUCGUCGCCGCGUGUAGUUCGCGUAAUUGCGAGCGUUCCAGCAAGUCUAAAGCGUUUAAGAGGCUUUGUAUUGUUGUUCUCACCUGAUGCUGUCGUUCUUGCAACCCGUCUGAUAUUGCAACUGUCUGUAAGUGGAAGCGUUUCUUCUAACCGCGAGCAGACCAGUCGGUCUCGUUUGACAUGUCAAAGAGUGAAGACGCUGCCUUGCAUGUGAAGCCAAAUCGUUCUUCGCCUUCAGGAUUCUUGCCGUUUCAGGGAUCUGCACAACGACAGGGAGAUAGAACGCCAAGUGAAGUCUACUGUAUGCUUUGUGCAGACGGUUCAGCGUGUAUGACGCAGCGGCCUCCAGCAAGAGAAACUCAAGCACCGUGUUCAAAUGCGGUGGGGACUCUUGCUCGACAUAACAACGCUUAGAAGUGCUCUUUCGGAAGAAGGACAAGUUGGACCGGAAAUGAGGACCUAGGUGUGCUCUUUUGCGUUGUUGUUCACCGUUCGAUCAUUACCAAUUUUUGUGCCCCCGUGAGUUCAACGCUCAGGUAUGUUGAUGAUAAAUGGAUAUGCGUUAAAAGGUACGU